rnacentral:tRNA from 1 species
GGGGUUGUGGCUCAGUGGUAGAGCACUUGCUUAGCAUGUGUGAGGCCCUGGGUUCAAUCCUCAGCACCA